rnacentral:rRNA from 1 species
AACGAACGCUGGCGGCAGGCCUAACACAUGCAAGUCGAACGCACCGCAAGGUGAGUGGCGCACGGGUGAGUAACACGUGGGAAUGUACCCUUUGGUUCGGAAUAACGUUUGGAAACGAACGCUAAUACCGGAUGAGCCCUGCGGGGGAAAGAUUUAUCGCCAAAGGAGCAGCCCGCGUCUGAUUAGCUAGUUGGUGGGGUAAAGGCCUACCAAGGCGACGAUCAGUAGCUGGUCUGAGAGGAUGAUCAGCCACACUGGGACUGAGACACGGCCCAGACUCCUACGGGAGGCAGCAGUGGGGAAUCUUAGACAAUGGGGGAAACCCUGAUCUAGCCAUGCCGCGUGAUCGAUGAAGGCCUUAGGGUUGUAAAGAUCUUUCAGUGGGGGAAGAUAAUGACGGUACCCACAGAAGAAGCCCCGGCUAACUCCGUGCCAGCAGCCGCGGUAAU